UACGAAGGGGGCAAGCGUUGCUCGGAAUCACUGGGCGUAAAGCGCACGUAGGCGGCUUUUUAAGUCAGGGGUGAAAUCCUGGAGCUCAACUCCAGAACUGCCUUUGAUACUGAGAAGCUUGAGUCCGGGAGAGGUGAGUGGAACUGCGAGUGUAGAGGUGAAAUUCGUAGAUAUUCGCAAGAACACCAGUGGCGAAGGCGGCUCACUGGCCCGGUACUGACGCUGAGGUGCGAAAGCGUGGGGAGCAAACAGG
rnacentral:rRNA from 1 species